rnacentral:rRNA from 1 species
GAUGAACGCUGGCGGCGUGCCUAAUACAUGCAAGUCGAGCGAACAGAUGAGGAGCUUGCUCCUCUGACGUUAGCGGCGGACGGGUGAGUAACACGUGGAUAACCUACCUAUAAGACUGGGAUAACUUCGGGAAACCGGAGCUAAUACCGGAUAAUAUAUUGAACCGCAUGGUUCAAUAGUGAAAGACGGUUUUGCUGUCACUUAUAGAUGGAUCCGCGCCGCAUUAGCUAGUUGGUAAGGUAACGGCUUACCAAGGCGACGAUGCGUAGCCGACCUGAGAGGGUGAUCGGCCACACUGGAACUGAGACACGGUCCAGACUCCUACGGGAGGCAGCAGUAGGGAAUCUUCCGCAAUGGGCGAAAGCUUGACGGAGCAACGCCGCGUGAGUGAUGAAGGUCUUCGGAUCGUAAAACUCUGUUAUUAGGGAAGAACAAAUGUGUAAGUAACUAUGCACGUCUUGUCGGUACCUAAUCAGAAAGCCACGGCUAACUACGUG